rnacentral:rRNA from 1 species
UAUUGCAUUUGACCUCAAAUCAGGUAGGAU